AGAGUUUGAUCCUGGCUCAGGACGAACGCUGGCGGCACGCUUAACACAUGCAAGUCGAACGAGAGAAGAGGAGCUUGCUUUUCUGAUCUAGUGGCGGACGGGUGAGUAACACGUGAGCAAUCUGCCUUUCAGAGGGGGAUACCGAUUGGAAACGAUCGUUAAUACCGCAUAACAUAAUUGAACCGCAUGAUUUGAUUAUCAAAGAUUUAUCGCUGAAAGAUGAGCUCGCGUCUGAUUAGCUAGUUGGUAAGGUAACGGCUUACCAAGGCGACGAUCAGUAGCCGGACUGAGAGGUUGAUCGGCCACAUUGGGACUGAGACACGGCCCAGACUCCUACGGGAGGCAGCAGUGGGGAAUAUUGCACAAUGGAGGAAACUCUGAUGCAGCGAUGCCGCGUGAGGGAAGAAGGUUUUAGGAUUGUAAACCUCUGUCUUCAGGGACGAAAAAAGACGGUACCUGAGGAGGAAGCUCCGGCUAACUACGUGCCAGCAGCCGCGGUAAUACGUAGGGAGCGAGCGUUGUCCGGAAUUACUGGGUGUAAAGGGAGCGUAGGCGGGAUCGCAAGUCAGAUGUGAAAACUAUGGGCUUAACCCAUAAACUGCAUUUGAAACUGUGGUUCUUGAGUGAAGUAGAGGUAAGCGGAAUUCCUAGUGUAGCGGUGAAAUGCGUAGAUAUUAGGAGGAACAUCAGUGGCGAAGGCGGCUUACUGGGCUUUAACUGACGCUGAGGCUCGAAAGCGUGGGGAGCAAACAGGAUUAGAUACCCUGGUAGUCCACGCCGUAAACGAUGAUUACUAGGUGUGGGGGGACUGACCCCUUCCGUGCCGCAGCAAACGCAAUAAGUAAUCCACCUGGGGAGUACGACCGCAAGGUUGAAACUCAAAGGAAUUGACGGGGGCCCGCACAAGCAGUGGAGUAUGUGGAUUAAUUCGAAGCAACGCGAAGAACCUUACCAGGUCUUGACAUCGUAUGCAUAGCUCAGAGAUGAGUGAAAUCUCUUCGGAGACAUAUAGACAGGUGGUGCAUGGUUGUCGUCAGCUCGUGUCGUGAGAUGUUGGGUUAAGUCCCGCAACGAGCGCAACCCUUACUGUUAGUUGCUACGCAAGAGCACUCUAGCAGGACUGCCGUUGACAAAACGGAGGAAGGUGGGGAUGACGUCAAAUCAUCAUGCCCCUUAUGACCUGGGCCUCACACGUACUACAAUGGCUGUCAACAGAGGGAAGCAAAGCCGCGAGGUGGAGCGAACCCCUAAAAGCAGUCUUAGUUCGGAUUGUAGGCUGCAACCCGCCUACAUGAAGUCGGAAUUGCUAGUAAUCGCAGAUCAGCAUGCUGCGGUGAAUACGUCC
rnacentral:rRNA from 1 species